rnacentral:rRNA from 1 species
CUACGGGAGGCACCAGUGGGGAAUAUUGCGCAAUGGGGGAAACCCUGACGCAGCGACGCCGCGUGAGCGAUGAAGGCCUUCGGGUCGUAAAGCUCUGUCAGGUGGGAAGAACCCUCCGUCGGUGAAUAAUCGAUGGAGCUGACGGUACCACCAGAGGAAGCACCGGCUAACUCCGUGCCAGCAGCCGCGGUAACACGGAGGGUGCAAGCGUUGUUCGGAAUCACUGGGCGUAAAGGGCGCGCAGGCGGUCCGGUCAGUCGGAAGUGAAAUCCGUCGGCUCAACCGACGAAUUGCUUCCGAUACUACCGGACUUGAGCACGGGAGAGGAGAGCGGAAUUCCCAGUGUAGAGGUGAAAUUCGUAGAUAUUGGGAAGAACACCGGUGGCGAAGGCGGCUCUCUGGACCGAUACUGACGCUGAGGCGCGAAAGCGUGGGGAGCGAACAGGAUUAGAUACCCGCGUAGUC